CAGUCGCCACGGUAAUACGAAGGGGGCUAGCGUUGCUCGGAAUGACUGGGCGUAAAGGGCGCGUAGGCGGCUUACACAGUCAGAUGUGAAAUUCCUGGGCUCAACCUGGGGACUGCAUUUGAUACGUGUGGGCUUGAGUGGAGAAGAGGGUUGUGGAAUUUCCAGUGUAGAAGUGAAAUUCGUAGAUAUUGGAAAGAACACCGGUGGCGAAGGCGGCAACCUGGUCUUUAACUGACGCUGAGGCGCGAAAGCGUGGGGAGCAAACAGGAUUAGAUACCCCCGUAGUCCCUGUCUCUUAUAC
rnacentral:rRNA from 1 species